rnacentral:rRNA from 1 species
GACGAACGCUGGCGGCGUGCUUAACACAUGCAAGUCGAACGGAAAGGCCCUGCUUUUGUGGGGUGCUCGAGUGGCGAACGGGUGAGUAACACGUGAGUAACCUGCCCUUGACUUUGGGAUAACUUCAGGAAACUGGGGCUAAUACCGGAUAGGAGCUCCUGCUGCAUGGUGGGGGUUGGAAAGUUUCGGCGGUUGGGGAUGUACUCGCGGCUUAUCAGCUUGUUGGUGGAGUAGUGGCUUACCAAGGCUUUGACGGGUAGCCGGCCUGAGCGGGUGACCGGCCACAUUGGGACUGGGAUACGGCCAAGACUGCUACGGGAGGCAGCGGUGGGGUAUAUUGCACAAUGGGCGGAAGCCUGAUGCAGCAACGCCGCGUGCGGGAUGAGGGCCUUCGGGUUGUAAACCGCUUUCGCCUGUGACGAAGCGUGAGUGACGGUAAUGGGUAAAGAAGCACCGGCUAACUACGUG